AGAACGAACGCUGGCGGCAGGCCUAACACAUGCAAGUCGAACGCUCGUAGCAAUACGAGAGUGGCAGACGGGUGAGUAACGCGUGGGAACCUUCCCAGUGGUACGGAAUAGCUCAGGGAAACUUGAGGUAAUACCGUAUACGCCCUUCGGGGGAAAGAUUUAUCGCCAUUGGAUGGGUCCGCGUAGGAUUAGCUAGUUGGUGAGGUAACGGCUCACCAAGGCGACGAUCCUUAGCUGGUCUGAGAGGAUGAUCAGCCACACUGGGACUGAGACACGGCCCAGACUCCUACGGGAGGCAGCAGUGGGGAAUAGUUGGACAAGUGGGCGCAAGCCUGAUCCAGCCAUGCCGCGUGAGUGACGAAGGCCGUUAGGGUUGUAAGCUCGUUUGGCGGGAAGAUAAUGACGGUACCGACAGAAUAAGCGUCCGCUAACUUCGUGCCAGCAGCCGC
rnacentral:rRNA from 1 species